GGGAACUCGGAGCUUCACUCCAAACCCCUGUGACAUACCUAUACGUUGCCUCGGCGGAUCAGCCCGCGCCCCGUAAAACGGGACGGCCCGCCCGAGGACCCCUAAACUCUGUUUUUAGUGGAACUUCUGAGUAAAACAAACAAAUAAAUCAAAACUUUCAACAACGGAUCUCUUGGUUCUGGCAUCGAUGAAGAACGCAGCAAAAUGCGAUAAGUAAUGUGAAUUGCAGAAUUCAGUGAAUCAUCGAAUCUUUGAACGCACAUUGCGCCCGCCAGUAUUCUGGCGGGCAUGCCUGUUCGAGCGUCAUUUCAACCCUCAAGCUCAGCUUGGUGUUGGGACUCGCGGUAACCCGCGUUCCCCAAAUCGAUUGGCGGUCACGUCGAGCUUCCAUAGCGUAGUAAUCAUACACCUCGUUACUGGUAAUCGUCGCGGCCACGCCGUUAAACCCCAACUUCUGAAUGUUGACCUCGGAUCAGGUAGGAAUACCCGCUGAACUUAAGCAUAUCAAGCUGCUGGCGCGA
rnacentral:rRNA from 1 species